GGCCAUAGCUCACUGGUAGAGCAUCUGCUUUGCAUGCAGAAGGUCCCCGCUUCAAUCCCUGGCAUCUCUA